UUAUAGGAGAAUUUAAAAGGGAAACUGUUGC
rnacentral:piRNA from 1 species